rnacentral:rRNA from 1 species
UACGUAUGGUGCAAGCGUUAUCCGGAUUUACUGGGUGUAAAGGGUGCGUAGGUGGUUAGACAAGUCUGAAGUGAAAAUCCGGGGCUCAACCCCGGAACUGCUUUGGAAACUGCCAAACUAGAGUACAGGAGAGGUAAGUGGAAUUCCUAGUGUAGCGGUGAAAUGCGUAGAUAUUAGGAGGAACACCAGUGGCGAAGGCGACUUACUGGACUGACACUGACACUGAGGCACGAAAGCGUGGGGAGCAA